AUGGUACGGUCGAUGAGACCCUUCGUCCUGGUGCUUUUGAUCACUGUCAGUGGUUUGAGCUUGUUGCUCCCAUGCCCGCCAGCCGUCGCGGCGGCGCGCGAGAGCCUCGUCCGGGGCGCCUCUAUUGCCGUCGAGGACUAUGCCACCGACUUCCUGCGCUCGCCGGGCGGCACCUUCGCCUGCGGCUUCUACCGCGUCUCCUCCACCGUUUUCACCUUCUCCAUCUGGUUCACGCGCGCCAAGGAACGCUCCGUCGUCUGGACCGCCGAUCGCACGCGGCCUGUCCACAGCACGGGCUCGCGCCUCACGCUAGAUAAGCGCGGUGGCGCGCUCAUCCUCACCGACUACGACGGCGAGCCGGUGUGGAACUCCACCGUGGCCGGCGCUCCGACGGCCUCGCGCGCCCAGCUCCGCGACACCGGCAACCUCGUCGUGGAGGACGCCGACGGGAGAGCGCUCUGGCAGAGCUUCCACUUCCCCACGGACACGCUGCUGCCCACGCAGCGCCUCACCGCGACGACUCGCCUGGUGUCGUCGCGCGACGACAGGCUGCUCUCCUCCGGCUACUACAGCCUCGGGUUCAGCGACUACGCCAUGCUCUCCCUCUUCUACGACAACGGCAACUUCUCCAGCAUCUACUGGCCCAACCCCUACAACAACUACGUCGCCAACAACCGCAGGAUCUACAACUUCACCCGCGAGGCCGCCAUGGACGCGCUCGGCAACUUCCUCUCGAGCGACAACGCCAACUUCCAGGCGGCCGACCUCGCCGCCGCCGGUGUCCGGAGGCGGCUCACGCUCGACGCCGACGGCAACCUCAGGGCGUACAGCCUGGACGCGGCGACGGGGACGUGGGCGGUGUCGUGGAUGGCGUUCCGCAACCCCUGCACCAUCCACGGCGUCUGCGGCGCCAACGCGGUGUGCCUCUACGCGCCGGCGCCUUCGUGCGCCUGCGCGCCGGGGCACGAGCGAACCGACCCCGGCGACUGGACCAGGGGGUGCCGGCCGACUUUCCGGCAGCGCCAGUGCGGGAAGCCGACGCGGACGCCGACGAGGCUGAUGGCACUGCCGCACUCCGACUUCUGGGGCUACGACCUCAACGACGGCGAGAUCAUGCCGUUGGCGGAGUGCGCCAGGAGGUGCCGCACCAACUGCGCAUGCGUCGCGUUCCAGCACAAGGCCAACAUGGAGUGCUACCUCAAAAGCGUCCUCUUCAACGGCAGGACGUUCCCCGGCUUGCCGGGGACGGUGUACAUCAAGGUCCCGGUCGACUUCGUCGUCCCGGAGUUCCACGUCCACCAAUGGCAAGCGCACGUACACGGCGGCCUUGCCAUCCUUGAGGAGAACAUCACCGGCUGCGGCGACCGCGCCGCUCAGGAGGUCCUCCUCAACGCCUCCGCCUUGUCACACAAGCACGUCGGUGACGCCGCGGGGAAACCGGUGUGGCCGUACCUGUACGGGUUCCUGUCGGCGCUGCUCGUCGUGGAGGCCGUUGUCAUUGGGCUCGGCUGCCUGCUCUUCUCCAGGAAGGGACUGUUCACGCGGUCUUCCCCGGUGUACCCCAUGGACGAAGGCUACAGACUCAUCCUCCUCACCACAAGUUUCCAGAGAUACAGCUACGCUGCGAUCAAGAAGGCCACGGGGAACUUCGCCGACGAGAUCGGCCGCGGCGGGUCUGGCGUGGUGUACAGGGGCGUUCUCGACGACGGCCGGAUCGUGGCCGUCAAGGCGCUGACGACGAGCGUGAGCCGCUCCCACGGGGAGGAGGAGUUCCAGGCGGAGCUGAGCGUGAUCGGCAGGAUCUACCACAAGAACCUGGUGAGGAUCAUCGGCUGCUGCUCCCAAGGCAAGCACCGCAUCCUCGUCUCCGAGUUCAUCGAGAACCGCUCGCUCGCCACGAUGUUGUUCUUGGACGAAGACGGCGACGGUGACGGCGGCGAUGAUCACGACGACGUCCUCGGGUGGAGCCAGCGGUUCCGGAUCGCCGUCGGCGUGGCCAGGGGCCUCGCCUAUCUGCACAGCGAGUGCCUCGAGUGGAUCAUCCACUGCAACAUGAAGCCGGAGAACAUAUUGCUGGACCGUGAUCUGGAGCCCAAGAUCACCGACUUCGGGCUCGCCAAGCUGCUGGACCGCCGCCCCCUCGGGUCCGCCUCUCGCCUAGUGCGGGAGGCGAACCCGUCGCGGCGGAUCAGGGGGACGAGGGGGUACAUGGCGCCGGAAUGGGUGUCGAGCCUGGCCAUCAGCGACAAGGUCGACGUGUACAGCUUCGGCGUGGUGCUGCUGGAGCUGGUGAAAGGGGUCAGGGUGGCGGACGGCGACCAGAAUACGGACGUCAGGGCCGUGGCCAAGGCUGUGAGCGAAAAGAUGCAUUCCGGCAGCGUGGAUGAUCUUGUGGAUGGCCGGCUCGCCGGCGACUUUAACCGCGCGCAGGUGAAGGUGGUGGUUGGUGUUGCCUUGUCGUGCUUGGAGGAGGACAGGAACCGGCGGCCGAGCAUGAGCGCGGUGGUGCAGGCGCUCGUCUCCGUUGAAGAUGCGUGA
rnacentral:rRNA from 1 species